rnacentral:misc_RNA from 1 species
GUUUGAUAUGGGUUAUGUUAUGUCCGUUCUUGAUUGAUCCCCUCACAAGAGUCAAACUCAAAACAUGCAUAUAUACAAAAUCAAUAUUUUUCAAACCCAUUAUCGAAUUCAAUGCAAGGAUGUAUAUAAAGAAAGAAGAUGAAAGGGAGGCUAUUAUUUACAUACAUAAAAAAUAAAAAAGGAAAAAUAGUGUCUAAUUAUGUUGAAAUUAAGUCAUGG